CGAAUGCUGACAUAAGUAACGAUAAAGCGGGUGAAAAGCCCGCUCGCCGGAAGACCAAGGGUUCCUGUCCAACGUUAAUCGGGGCAGGGUGAGUCGACCCCUAAGGCGAGGCCGAAAGGCGUAGUCGAUGGGAAACAGGUUAAUAUUCCUGUACUUGGUGUUACUGCGAAGGGGGGACGGAGAAGGCUAUGUUGGCCGGGCGACGGUUGUCCCGGUUUAAGCGUGUAGGCUGGUUUUCCAGGCAAAUCCGGAAAAUCAAGGCUGAGGCGUGAUGACGAGGCACUACGGUGCUGAAGCAACAAAUGCCCUGCUUCCAGGAAAAGCCUCUAAGCAUCAGGUAACAUCAAAUCGUACCCCAAACCGACACAGGUGGUCAGGUAGAGAAUACCAAGGCGCUUGAGAGAACUCGGGUGAAGGAACUAGGCAAAAUGGUGCCGUAACUUCGGGAGAAGGCACGCUGAUAUGUAGGUGAAGUCCCUCGCGGAUGGAGCUGAAAUCAGUCGAAGAUACCAGCUGGCUGCAACUGUUUAUUAAAAACACAGCACUGUGCAAACACGAAAGUGGACGUAUACGGUGUGACGCCUGCCCGGUGCCGGAAGGUUAAUUGAUGGGGUCAGCGCAAGCGAAGCUCUUGAUCGAAGCCCCGGUAAACGGCGGCCGUAACUAUAACGGUCCUAAGGUAGCGAAAUUCCUUGUCGGGUAAGUUCCGACCUGCACGAAUGGCGUAAUGAUGGCCAGGCUGUCUCCACCCGAGACUCAGUGAAAUUGAACUCGCUGUGAAGAUGCAGUGUACCCGCGGCAAGACGGAAAGACCCCGUGAACCUUUACUAUAGCUUGACACUGAACAUUGAGCCUUGAUGUGUAGGAUAGGUGGGAGGCUUUGAAGUGUGGACGCCAGUCUGCAUGGAGCCGACCUUGAAAUACCACCCUUUAAUGUUUGAUGUUCUAACGUGGACCCGUGAUCCGGGUUGCGGACAGUGUCUGGUGGGUAGUUUGACUGGGGCGGUCUCCUCCUAAAGAGUAACGGAGGAGCACGAAGGUUGGCUAAUCCUGGUCGGACAUCAGGAGGUUAGUGCAAUGGCAUAAGCCAGCUUGACUGCGAGCGUGACGGCGCGAGCAGGUGCGAAAGCAGGUCAUAGUGAUCCGGUGGUUCUGAAUGGAAGGGCCAUCGCUCAACGGAUAAAAGGUACUCCGGGGAUAACAGGCUGAUACCGCCCAAGAGUUCAUAUCGACGGCGGUGUUUGGCACCUCGAUGUCGGCUCAUCACAUCCUGGGGCUGAAGUAGGUCCCAAGGGUAUGGCUGUUCGCCAUUUAAAGUGGUACGCGAGCUGGGUUUAGAACGUCGUGAGACAGUUCGGUCCCUAUCUGCCGUGGGCGCUG
rnacentral:rRNA from 1 species